AGCCCACCCUGAACUAUCACAGGCUCCGCCCCCACCCACGCCGGGACACAUUCUCUGAGCUUGGGGAGUGUGGUGCUCCCUUCUCAGAGAAGCUGAGGGUGAAACUGGCUGGUAAAGGUGACUGGCAAAUCCCACCAGCCGUGCCUUGGUCAGGCCUGUCUGAGGUGGGCAUCAGUGAGCUCUGGAAGCGGAGCCUGUAGCACAAAUGCAGCCACUUCUGUUGGUUUCUGUGUCCCCGCUCAUUUUGUUUUCCAGUGAUUUUCCUCUUAAGAAAAUGCUCCUGACUCAUCCAUGGCAGGGAGGUUUGCCGCUCUCUGGACAAGGCCACCCUUUGGGGAGGUGACAGCUGCCCCAGUGAGUAAUGAGGAGCAGCGGCAGUGAUGGGGCAGAGCUGGGGCUGGGAGAUGAGGGAGCCCCUGCCAGGGCCUUUCCCUCCCACCUGGCCUGGCUCCUUCUCUGGACUCCUUGAUGGAUGUUGAAGCCCAUAACGCUGCAGACUCCUCCUCCUUCCUGGGGACAGGCCAGGGUGCCCCACUCCCACCUGCCCACUCCUGCAGUCAUCUUUGUCUUCGGACCAAAUGCACAAGUACUUUGUUAAAGGGCGCCAGGCUGUCCUUGGCAUGGUCCAGAAGGCCAAGUACUGGGAGCUGCUCCUAUCAGAGCUCCUCGGCCGGCGGGCUCCUGCCGUUGUACGGCUUGGUCUUACCUACCAUGUGCAUGACCUCACUGGGGCCCAGCUAGUGGACUGCAUCUCUACCACUUCUGGAACCCUCCUCCGCCUGCCAGAGACAUGAAGAUUCUGCUCAUCAUUGCUCAGCUCCCCAGAGUGGGCCUGGAGGGGACUGGAAUUGCUACAUGAUGGUGGCUGAAACAGGGUCACCUUGGGAAGGUUUGGGAGCCAGGAUGAGUGUUGGGCUCUCGUGUAUGCAAAGGGUCAGAUGUGGCUGCACCAGAAAUGGUGCCAAGGCUGUGGCUGUUCCCUUUUGUGUAAAAUGGUGCUGUUAUUACUCUGUCUUGAAAUAGGAAGGUGGGAUUUCUGGGGAGGCUGGUGAAGGAGGGCAGGGUUCUUUUCCCUAUGUGUCAUGUUAAAAUUGCCAAAUAAAGUACUUCUGCCUGUGGUA